AGCUUUUAAGUUGCACCAUGAAAAACAGUCAUGGUUGCCAUUCCCUUACAGGCCUAUAUAUAGGAGCACAAGCCCCUCUACUUUUAAUCUCAAUGUGCCUUUUGUGCAUUAUCAUGGAUUCUAGUUUUAAAACCACUGCUGUCAUUCUCUUACUCUUUAUAGGCAUUUGUGCAGGUGAGCAUUUUCCCUUUAUGUGCUACAAUCAGUUAAUGCAAUCAAAGUUGAAGUUAUAUAUAUUUCUAUUCUUCAUGAUUUGCAGCAGGAAGAGAUGCCAAAGGCUUCAGGAAUGUUGUAAACCCUACCAAGCCAUCAACAGAGGUAAUUCUUGAAUAGGGGAAAACUAAUGAUCCGUUCAGUUACAGCAUGAAAUAAUGUCUAUAUAGUGAAAUGCAUAAUGUCUAUCUAAAGAAAUGCAUGCUGGAAAGUCACAUAUCUAUAUGUGUAUGUACUACUCGACGUUUUAUAGGGUAAAACUAAAAAUUAUACAAGCCUGAAGCUAGAGGGAUCAUUGAUACUUAAAACAUGUGUAUAUAUACAGCAGUUCUCUCAUGAUGGUGAUGAAUGUGAGACAUCCGCUGUGUACACCCAUUAUAUGCAAAAGUUAAUCAAAUUUACUGAGUCUAAGACACUUACUGUCUGCUUUGGAUAUUCUGCUGCUUACAGCGUGUUGUGUUUUUGUUGAAGGUGAUUGUGGAAAUGAAGAUGAGAGAUCUGACAGAAAUUGAUGCUUUUUUGGACUAUGAAAAGCCAAUACCAAAUCCUAGGCAUGAAAAGGGGAGGCCAGGUGGUGGUGCUAACAAGUGACUGCCUUUCCUUCCUUCAUUUCCCUACUAGCUGAUGUAACACCAAGAGGAGUAUGAGGAAGGUUAAUGUUAAAAUCAUUAUAUCCUAAAUAAAAUAAAGGUGAGAUGUUAAGUAGAAAUGUGCAAUUUCCUAUAUUGGAUGGAGAAACAGCACAUAUCAUAUGUCUAGCUAUCUAAUAAAGUUAUCAUCCAACAGAGAAGAAUGAGGGUAGUGACAAGAUACUAUUUUCUGGGGAGAAACAUGAGUAAGGGUUAAACUGUUAAGUGAGCAGGAUGGCUUCAGUAAUGUAUUAAUGUACUAUCAGUUGAUCACUUAUGAUUUUCUUUACAAGAUGACUGACCUAUAUACAUACAUACACAUAACACACACACACACACAAACUUGUAUCCUCUUAAGAGUUGGCAAAUUCUUUGCAUAUUAAUCAUGCCUGCCACUAAUUAAACAAUAAGAAAUAUACCGACAAAAUCAUUGCUAAUCUAGAUGCUAAUUAACCUACUUGGAAGAAUGUUUUACCAUAUGUUUCUGAUAGCUAUGAGUUAGCUGAGGUAGUACCACUUUGUUCUAUGAUAAGCCCUUCCAAACCACUCAGUAAGUUUCAUCAUUUACAGGAUGUGAGUGAUAAAAAGAAAGGAAAAAAGAUUAGUUAUAUAUUGUGGGCUAAGAAUUAGAUAAUGGGACUCAAAAGUCUUGUGCAAUGGAGCUGUCAAAGCCCAGAAGUCAACUCUUGAGAAAUUUCAUGUUCAUAAGAAUUCUCUGAUAACGACCACCAUUCAUAUACAUGCAUGAUGAAUUGAUGAUGAUGCAUCACAGAGUUCUUCUAAAAGCACAACAUAAUUUCCUUUGGGGAAUCCCAUGCCAAAAACACCAUUAUUUGACACACAUUUGACAAAAACAUAAACAGGGUGUUUGUCAUAUGACAGAGCAUGUUUGAUGGAGACACCCAUUUCGCAGAUAAGGUCGGUUUGGUUGCUUCACAUAUUAUGAAACUAUUGCUUCAUGAACUUUGUUUGAUAUAGUAAGGUCGGUUUGGUUUGG
rnacentral:lncRNA from 1 species